rnacentral:rRNA from 1 species
UACGUAGGGUGCGAGCGUUAAUCGGAAUUACUGGGCGUAAAGCGUGCGCAGGCGGUGAUGUAAGACCGAUGUGAAAUCCCCGGGCUUAACCUGGGAACUGCAUUGGUGACUGGCGGGCUAGAGUAUGGCAGAGGGGGGUAGAAUUCCACGUGUAGCAGUGAAAUGCGUAGAGAUGUGGAGGAAUACCGAUGGCGAAGGCAGCCCCCUGGGAUAACACUGACGCUCAUGCACGAAAGCGUGGGGAGCAAACAGG